GAUGAACGCUGGCGGCGUGCCUAAUACAUGCAAGUCGAGCGAACGGACGAGAAGCUUGCUUCUCUGAUGUUAGCGGCGGACGGGUGAGUAACACGUGGAUAACCUACCUAUAAGACUGGGAUAACUUCGGGAAACCGGAGCUAAUACCGGAUAAUAUUUUGAACCGCAUGGUUCAAAAGUGAAAGACGGUCUUGCUGUCACUUAUAGAUGGAUCCGCGCUGCAUUAGCUAGUUGGUAAGGUAACGGCUUACCAAGGCAACGAUGUAUAGCCGACCUGAGAGGGUGAUCGGCCACACUGGAACUGAGACACGGUCCAGACUCCUACGGGAGGCAGCAGUAGGGAAUCUUCCGCAAUGGGCAAAAGCCUGACGGAGCAACGCCGCGUGAGUGAUGAAGGUCUUCGGAUCGUAAAACUCUGCUAUUAGGGAAGAACAUAUGUGUAAGUAACUGUGCACAUCUUGACGGUACCUAAUCAGAAAGCCACGGCUAACUACGUG
rnacentral:rRNA from 1 species